CACGGGGGGAGCAAGCGUUGUUCGGAAUCACUGGGCGUAAAGGGCGUGUAGGCGGUGGCCUAAGCGUGCGGUGAAAGCCUGGGGCUCAACCCCGGGUCGGCCGUGCGAACUGGGCGACUUGAGCACUGUAGAGGCAGGCGGAAUUCCGGGUGUAGCGGUGGAAUGCGUAGAGAUCCGGAAGAACACCGGUGGCGAAGGCGGCCUGCUGGGCAGUAGCUGACGCUGAGGCGCGACAGCGUGGGGAGCAAACAGG
rnacentral:rRNA from 1 species